rnacentral:lncRNA from 1 species
UAUAAAGCAGAUACUUUGUUGUUUGUAACUUUGUAGAAGAAUUAAACUGCUUGUGAUUUUCUGGAACCUCUGUUUUAAAUGAAUUUAUCUGCUGCUGUGUACAGAACUGCUUGACACCCCAUGCCUCUUCUAUAGCGCCAAUAGAGAAGUAACUCAGAACCCAGACUAAGCACUCACAAUCCAGAGGUAGCCGUGGUCAUCACCGAUAGGCUGUGUCCUGCUGGUCUCCUAGUCAUAUGUCUAUGGGGGAGAGGUUGCACCCCUUUCUUCUGUAGAACGUCUCAGGAUGACGUGAUUCUGCUUAGUGGUGGGGGCUCCGUGAGCGCACAGCUGCUAACUAUGCAGCUUUCCUACCGGUGAUGAGAGGUGUCAGGAUUGACAGCAGCACCGUGAGAUCAUGUUCUCAGGCAGUCCCUUGUGCCCCAGCGUCUGAGUGGCUAGCGGCUGUGGGUCUGUUGCCUGUGUUCUGUUGCGAUGACAGGCAGGCCUGCGUACGUACGUGAAUGUGAGAGUCCAUGUUGGUUUGUCUUACGUCUUAGGCAAUCGCAUAUGGAACUGCACAUUUCUGCCAGUUCUUUCUUGGCUCUGUCACGUCCACAGUAGCCCAUGGAGACUACCUGGUAUGUUCGAUUCUUGGCAUCUGUGUGUAUAAAUUUGAUAACCAUGGCUUAAUUAGGAUAGAAACCCUAAGGUCUAAGGUACACAAGGAUGUGAUUUUGCAAAGGUAGAAAAGUUACUCUGUGCUGACUUAUCCUCUGCUUAUUGCAUGAGAGUAGCUCUUCCAAGGAGUCCAA